UUCAUUACUAAGGAGGUGAGCUUCUCUUACUGAGAACUGCACUACUUUGGUUAUACCCUUUAAACCCAGAAAACAUAGAAGGUGGAGGCAGUGAACAGCUGCGGUUCCUUGAAGAAGAAAUCUCAGCACCAAAGAGAUUGUACCUAAUACAUCUGUGGAAGUGACUGCACUUGUCUGAGGUUUACUCUGACAUAUAGAAAACGUCUAUGGUGGUGGAAAACUCCUUACUUCGUGGGUUGUUCUAUGAUGUUCUGCUGGAAAAAGUAGCUGAAGCAGGGAAGGGAGAGAUAUAACAUGAGGAAUGGGAAAGCAUGCUAAAGAACUGUUUGGUGAUUCUUGUCAUCAUUUGAUAUGGCAAAACUUGGAAGGCUUGAUGCAGCCUGGCUUUGUAAGAUCAGGAAAAAAAGAACCAACAACAGGAAUUAUUAAUAUUUAGUUGCAGAACUGCUAUAAUACUGGAACAGAAUAAUUAGUCAUUUCUAAGUCUGGCACCUAAAGCAGUGAAGAAGGUUGUGUCUCCAUGUGAAAUGCAGCAGUCAGCAUUUCUUACACAGAUGAAAAAGGAAAGAUGUCAGGAAAUGAGGAUAUGCCAAACUCUGGAUCGUACACUCUGCACAUACACUAAGGGACACUUCCUGAUUUAUCAUUGACUACAGAAUAGCUUUUGAAUAGCCCUUUAUGUAUGUACAGAAGGUAUUCUGGUUUGUUUGUUUGUUUGUUUUGUGUAGGAGAGGAAGACACGAUGCUCAGAUGUUUUCUACUCUUAUGAUACAGAAAAGAAAGAAUGUGAAUAUUUUCUUUCAAAAUCCAAAUAGAGAUCCACAAAUGUCAGAAAUAUACUACAACAUGAUUUUGCAUUCUCAAUGUGUCUGUAUUUUGUUUUUAAAGAACAAAAAAAGUGUAUGUGUUUUAAGUAUAGUGACGGUGGAGGUAACUUCAUAUAUAUAUUUUCUGUUGCUUGUGAGAAUGAGAAGAUAUACAUACACACAAUAGGGAUAGCAUUGAAUAAGAACUGAACAUGUCUUAAGGAACAGUAACAAAAAGAGAACAAUUUCUUUAACUUUAAAAUAGAAAUCAUUGGUAUGUUGCUUUCCUUAAAAAAGAAAACAAACAAAAAGCCAGUGAAUUGUUAAUUGCCUCAGGCAUAUAUAAGCACCCAGUCUGACAAAGACCUGUGUCUAAUUUUAUGCAUGAGAAUAGCCCAGUUGAUGUCUUUGGAGCUAAAAGCGUAUCAAGCAGUGCCUGUGGAUAUAGUACUGAAAGCACUGGACACCACAUUGUUUUAAGCAAAAAAUAACAUUUUAUUUUUUAACCACUUGAAAAAUCAGCACUCGAUGUCUUGUAUUAUUUUACACAAGAGGAAUAUAUACAUUAGUAGAACAGCUCUAUCAAAAAAAUUAUUUACUACAAGCUUACAAUUGCAUCAAACAACAUUGUAUUAAAAAAUACCAAAUCAGUAAAUAUUAGUUGUUGGUGUUGAUCUAAUAUGUUAAAACAUAACCAUUUAAGUGUUAGGUUUUAUAAAUCAUUGUUUUCUAGACAAUUCC
rnacentral:lncRNA from 7 species